GGAUUAAGCGGAUACUUUUAAGUGAAAGUAUUUGAUGGCAUACAUGCCCAAAGCAUUCGUUUAAUAUCAUUAUCUCAUUUCUGACCUAGGUGGCGUUUAGUGGGUUUUGCAUCUGAGCCCUUCUUUUAUUUACUAAUUUAACAUUUUUCAUGCAGUCAGUUCCAUUUAGUAAGUAAAUUGUUAAAAGUGGCAUGACACGGCAAAGGGAUCAAAUAUCAGAAGAAAUAAGUGUUCAUUAAUUAUGGUAUAAGCAUGGACCAUUGAGUUAUUGAACAUUUGCAAAGCUUGGGUGUGUAUUACCAUUGACUAGACCAGGAGGUUCUUUCACAGUUAUUAUUUUUAAUGGUUAAGGCACAACUCACUGAUUCACAGAUCCCACCCAUGUAUUAUUAUUAUAAGUCAUUGCAUAAAUGAUGGCCGAAUAUUAGGUUACAAUUAUGGACAACAGAAAAAGUGAUAGUUAAAUGCUCUUUAAUGACCCCUUUUUUGAUGUUGUAUGAUGAAAGAUAAUAUAGACCAACAUUUUUUUCAUUUGUUGUAAAAUUAUAAAAAAUUAUCUGUAAGUAUAUACAUAAAUUCACAAGCACCCGUUUAAAUCUAGAACAUGUUCAAACUGCUGUCUUCAAUUAUUUCAGCGCCUGCCUCUACAUUUCCUCACUUGACAAAUAUAUUAAAAUGUUUGGGAGAUACUCAAAGUGAAAAGCACAUAGCCCUGUGACGGUGGCAGACUUUAUUGCAUUACUAUACUAAGAGAGAAAUCGGUCCUCCGUAUAGUUAAAAAUUUAGACAGUAACAUUUGAAAGUAAAGUAUUUAGAUAACUGUUGUACUACUGAAUGGUGCAGUUUUAAUUCAUAUAUCAUUUGUUUUUCUCUGGACCAUGUUUUUUUUAUCCCCAGUUGCCUUUUAUCAAUUUCAUGAUCUGAAGUUCUGCUUCUGUUUUACAUUUGAGAGUUUUGACACAUACAGUAUCGCCAUCAGAAAUAUAUUUUGACAAUCUGGCAUGGGGAGUACAAACUCUCAGUACAAGUGACAUUAUCAUUGGUUUUGUUACAAAAAGCAAAAAAAAAAUUGUACAACAGUUACUAAAACAUUGCUUUUCUGUACUCAGUUCCUGGUGGCCCAAGUAGUACUUCAAAAUGGACUUUGAAGGAUGCUGAAGGUCCCUCAUGCCGAUAUGGAGUUUAUCUCCAUUUCUUUUGUUUUGUCCAGUUUCAGGUUACUGUAGGUCCUUAUCACUGACUUCUGCUGUUAAAAGCACAUGACUUCUGCCACAGUGCCAGUAAAGAGACUAGGCCAUCCAAAACAACCACUGCAGGACUGUUGUGAUGGCCUGAAAGGACCGCAGGAAAUUUGAACAUUGUGGAUGAUAAGAUAACAUUAAGUUCUGGAUUUUAUUUGGCCAGCAGCUCUUUCUUUUCUCGAUCCGUUUGUAGUGUAUUUAGUUGCAGCCCAUUAUUCACAUUUCUUGAACUUUACCGAACCGAUUUUCUCGAGCAGAGCUGAAUAUUCUGACCAAUCAGGGAAAUGAACCACCUACAUAUGCUCAGAACAGCAGCCUGUUUCAAUGCUGUCUUAAGAGAAGUGCCUUGUGUAUUCAAUUUUAUAAGAACAAGUUGAUGUAAAUGUUCAUUUACCUCAAAUGUUUACAAAGCUGUUACUAAAUAAACUUUUUGUACCAUAAA